rnacentral:rRNA from 1 species
AUGCAUCUCAACUAUCUCAAGGCGUGCAUACGUGAGGCAUUUCGCCUCCACCCAAUCGCUCCCUUCAACCUGCCGCACGUCGCGAUUGCCGACACCAUUGUUGCGGGCUACCGUGUGCCCAAGGGUAGCCACGUCAUCCUCAGCCGGCUGGCCCUGGGCCGGAACCCCGCCGUCUGGGAUGAACCGCUCCACUUCAAGCCAGAGCGCCAUAUGGGAGACAACAUCAAUGUGGUGCUUACCGAGAGCGAAUUGCGGUUCAUCUCCUUCAGCACCGGACGGCGGGGAUGCAUCGCGGCAUCAUUAGGAACAACCAUGAGUGUCAUGCUCUUCGGCAGGCUCUUGCAUGGCUUCACCUGGACCAAACCGGCUGGGGUGUCGGCCAUCAAUCUCAGCGAAUCGAAGCACGACCUCUUCAAAGAGAAACCGCUAGUGCUACAUGCUGAGCCACGUCUUGCAGUGCACCUCUACCCUCUCAUUAUGCAUCGUUGA